rnacentral:rRNA from 1 species
AUUGAACGCUAGCGGCAUGCUUAACACAUGCAAGUCGAACGAGUGGCGGACGGGUGAGUAAUAUAUGGGGACGUGCCCGGUAGCGGGGGAUAACUACUCGAAAGGGUGGCUAAUACCGCAUACUAUCGGAGGAGCCGCUCUCGGAUUAGCUAGUUGGUGGGGUAAAGGCUCACCAAGGCGACGAUGCCUAGCCGACCUGAGGGGAUGAUCAGGCAAACGGGGACUGAGAGACGGCCCAGACGCCUAGGGGAGGAAGCAGGGGGGAAGAUUGCACAAUGGGCGAAAGCCUGAUGCAGCCAUGCCGCGUGUAUGAAGGGGGCCUGAGGGUUGUAAAGUACUUUCAGUCGGGAGGCGUUACCGGCAGAAGAAGCACCGGCUAACUCCGUGCCAGCAGCCGCGGUAAUAC